GAACGAACGCUGGCGGCGCGCCUAAUACAUGCAAGUCGAGCGAGAAGGUGUAGCAAUACACUUGUAAAGCGGCGAACGGGUGAGGAAUGCAUGGGUAACCUACCCUCGAGUGGGGAAUAACUAGCCGAAAGGUUAGCUAAUACCGCAUACGUUUCCGGAACUUCGGUUUCGGAAAGAAAGCAAUACCGUGGGUAUUGCGCUCCUGGAUGGGCUCAUGUCCUAUCAGCUUGUUGGUGAGGUAACGGCUCACCAAGGCUUCGACGGGUAGCUGGUCUGAGAGGACGAUCAGCCACACUGGCACUGCGACACGGGCCAGACUCCUACGGGAGGCAGCAGUAAGGAAUAUUGCGCAAUGGACGAAAGUCUGACGCAGCGACGCCGCGUGGGGGAUGAAGGUCUUCGGAUUGUAAACCCCUUUCGGGAGGGAAGAUGGAGUGGGUAACCACUUGGACGGUACCUCCAGAAGCAGCCACGGCUAACUUCGUG
rnacentral:rRNA from 1 species